AGGCAGCAGUGGGGAAUAUUGCACAAUGGGGGAAACCCUGAUGCAGCCAUGCCGCGUGUGUGAAGAAGGCCUUCGGGUUGUAAAGCACUUUCAGUAGGGAGGAAGGUAGUGUAGUUAACACCUGCAUUAUUUGACGUUACCUACAGAAGAAGCACCGGCUAACUCCGUGCCAGCAGCCGCGGUAAUACGGAGGGUGCGAGCGUUAAUCGGAAUUACUGGGCGUAAAGCGCAUGCAGGCGGCCUGUUAAGUCAGAUGUGAAAGCCCGGGGCUUAACCUCGGAAUUGCAUUUUGAAACUGGCAGGCUAGAGUCUUGUAGAGGGGGUAGAAUUUCAGGUGUAGCGGUGAAAUGCGUAGAGAUCUGAAGGAAUACCAGUGGCGAAGGCGGCCCCCUGGACAAAGACUGACGCUCAGAUGCGAAAGCGUGGGGAGCAAACAGGAUUAGAUACCCUGGUAG
rnacentral:rRNA from 1 species